rnacentral:rRNA from 1 species
GAAGUAAAAGUCGUAACAAGGUUUCCGUAGGUGAACCUGCGGAAGGAUCAUUAGUGAAAUAUAGCGUACCUGUUUAACCAGGACGUGACCCUCUCACUUUUCAAACUCUGUGCACUAUUUUGGCAAGUUGGAAGUUCGCUUCUAACUUGCGGCUCAUUAUUUAUAAACACUUAGUCAUUGUAUGUUAAAGAAAUUUUAUAACAAUAAAAAACUUUCAACAACGGAUCUCUUGGCUCUCGCAUCGAUGAAGAACGCAGCGAAAUGUGAUAAGUAAUGUGAAUUGCAGAAUUCAGUGAAUCAUCGAAUCUUUGAACGCAUCUUGCGCUCGCUGGUAUUCCGGCGAGCAUGUCUGUUUGAGUGUCGUGAACUCUUCAACCCCCAAUUUUUCUAACGAGAUUUUGGUGUGGCUUGGUUUCUGAGCGCUGCUGAAUCUUCGGAUUGUUAGCUCGCUCGUAAUUCAUUAGCAUCCUAAUCUUCGAGAUCAGAUUGACUCGGCGUAAUAGACUAUUCGCUGAGGACAUGCCCUAAUAAGCGUGGCUGGACUUGAAAAACUGGAAGCUUAUAAAACCCCGACUUCUAGUCAAAAUUUCUAAGAUUAGACCUCAGAUCAGAUAGGAUUACCCGCUGAACUUAAGCAUAUC